UACGUAGGGUGCAAGCGUUGUCCGGAAUUAUUGGGCGUAAAGAGCUCGUAGGCGGUUCGUCGCGUCGGCUGUGAAAACCUGAGGCUCAACCUCAGGCCUGCAGUCGAUACGGGCGGACUUGAGUACUGCAGGGGAGACUGGAAUUCCUGGUGUAGCGGUGAAAUGCGCAGAUAUCAGGAGGAACACCGGUGGCGAAGGCGGGUCUCUGGGCCAUUACUGACGCUGAGGAGCGAAAGCGUGGGGAGCGAACAGG
rnacentral:rRNA from 1 species